rnacentral:misc_RNA from 1 species
GCAAACUUGGUCAUUUAGAGGAAGUAAAAGUCGUAACAAGGUUUCCGUAGGUGAACCUGCGGAAGGAUCAUUAUUGAAACUCCAAAUCGAGUGGGGUUGUGCUGGCCUUUCUUCUGGGGGGCAUGUGCACGCCUGGCUCGUCAAUACAUCUCUCACACCUCUGUGCACUUUUCACGGAAAUAAAUGGCUUGCGGCGAUCAGUUCUGGUCGCUAAGAGCUUUUCUGUGGCCUUUUUUUUUCUUCUUCUUACAAACCUUGAAAUCAGUUUGAGAAUGUUCGUAUGUGUGUCUAUACACAUUUUAAUACAACUUUCAGCAACGGAUCUCUUGGCUCUCGCAUCGAUGAAGAACGCAGC